rnacentral:rRNA from 1 species
GGUUAAGCGAAUAAGCGUACACGGUGGAUGCCUAGGCAGUCAGAGGCGAUGAAGGACGUGCUAAUCUGCGAUAAGCGCCGGUAAGGUGAUAUGAACCGUUAUAACCGGCGAUUUCCGAAUGGGGAAACCCAGUGCAAUUCGUUGCACUAUCAUUACCUGAAUACAUAGGGUAAUGAAGCGAACCGGGAGAACUGAAACAUCUAAGUACCCCGAGGAAAAGAAAUCAAACGAGAUUCCCCCAGUAGCGGCGAGCGAACGGGGAGCAGCCCAGAACCUUAAUCACUAUCAGCAUCAGGAGAACAGUCUGGAAAGGCUGGCCGCAGCAGGUGAUAGCCCUGUAUCCGAAGGUGUUGGUAGUGUGAGUUCGAUGAGUAAGGCGGGACACGUGUUAUCCUGUCUGAAUAUGGGGGGACCAUCCUCCAAGGCUAAAUACUCCUGACUGACCGAUAGUGAACCAGUACCGUGAGGGAAAGGCGAAAAGAACCCCGGCGAGGGGAGUGAAAAAGAACCUGAAACCGUGUACGUACAAGCAGUGGGAGCACCCUUCGGGGUGUGACUGCGUACCUUUUGUAUAAUGGGUCAGCGACUUAUAUUCUGUAGCAAGGUUAACCGGAUAGGGGAGCCGCAGGGAAACCGAGUCUUAACUGGGCGAAUUAGUUGCAGGGUAUAGACCCGAAACCCGGUGAUCUAGCCAUGGGCAGGUUGAAGGUUGGGUAACACUAACUGGAGGACCGAACCGACUAAUGUUGAAAAAUUAGCGGAUGACUUGUGGCUGGGGGUGAAAGGCCAAUCAAACCGGGAGAUAGCUGGUUCUCCCCGAAAGCUAUUUAGGUAGCGCCUCGUGAAUUCAUCUCCGGGGGUAGAGCACUGUUUCGGCUAGGGGGUCAUCCCGACUUACCAACCCGAUGCAAACUGCGAAUACCGGAGAAUGUUAUCACGGGAGACACACGGCGGGUGCUAACGUUCGUCGUGAAGAGGGAAACAACCCAGACCGCCGGCUAAGGUCCCAAAGUCAUAAUUAAGUGGGAAACGAAGUGGGAAGGCUCAGACAGCCAGGAUGUUGGCUUAGAAGCAGCCAUCAUUUAAAGAAAGCGUAAUAGCUCACUGGUCGAGUCGGCCUGCGCGGAAGAUGUAACGGGGCUAAAUUAUGCACCGAAGCCGCGGCAGCGAUAUGUAAAUAUUGUUGGGUAGGGGAGCGUUCUGUAAGCCUGUGAAGGUGACCUGUGAGGGUUGCUGGAGGUAUCAGAAGUGCGAAUGCUGACAUAAGUAACGAUAAUGCGGGUGAAAAACCCGCACGCCGGAAGACCAAGGGUUCCUGUCCAACGUUAAUCGGGGCAGGGUGAGUCGACCCCUAAGGCGAGGCUGAAAAGCGUAGUCGAUGGGCAACGGGUUAAUAUUCCCGUACUGGUGGUAACUGCGAAGGGGGGACGGAGAAAGCUAAAUCAUCCGGGCGACGGUUGUCCCGGUUUAAGCGUGCAGGUGGACUGACCAGGCAAAUCCGGUCGGUUGUUAACAC